rnacentral:rRNA from 1 species
UACGUAGGGUCCGAGCGUUGUCCGGAAUUACUGGGCGUAAAGAGCUCGUAGGUGGUUUGUCGCGUUGUUCGUGAAAACUCACAGCUCAACUGUGGGCGUGCGGGCGAUACGGGCAGACUGGAGUACUGCAGGGGAGACUGGAAUUCCUGGUGUAGCGGUGGAAUGCGCAGAUAUCAGGAGGAACACCGGUGGCGAAGGCGGCAUCCUGGACCAACACUGACGCUGAGGAGCGAAAGCCAGGGGAGCAAACGGG